UAGUCCACGCCGUAAACGAUGUCAACUAGCCGUCGGGUCCAUUUAAGGAUUUGGUGGCGCAGCUAACGCGAUAAGUUGACCGCCUGGGGAGUACGCCGGCAACGGUAAAACUCAAAGGAUUGACGGGGGCCCGCACAAGCGGUGGAGCAUGUGGUUUAAUUCGAUGCAACGCGAAGAACCUUACCUACCCUUGACAUCCUCAGAACUUGUUAGAGAUAACUUGGUGCCUUCGGGAAUUGAGUGACAGGUGCUGCAUGGCUGUCGUCAGCUCGUGUCGUGAGGUGUUGGGUUAAGUCCCGCAACGAGCGCAACCCCUAUCUCCAGUUGCCAGCAAGUAAUGUUGGGGACUCUGGAGAGACUGCCUGUGCAAACAGCGAGGAAGGCGGGGAUGACGUCAAAUCAUCAUGGCCCUUAUGGGUUGGGCUACACGCGUGCUACAAUGGUAUCUACAGAGGGAUGCAAUAUGGCAACAUGGAGCAAAUCCUCAAAGGAU
rnacentral:rRNA from 1 species